AUGAAUGCUGGCGGCGUGCCUUAAUUAUGCAAGUCAAGGGGGUCCGAUUUAUCGGACAACCGGCGGACGGGUGAGUAAUGCGUGAGAAUCUUCCUUAAAGUGGGACAUAGCUUGCCGAAAGGUGAGGUAAUUUCCCAUGUGGUAGCAAUACUAAAGUCGCAAGACGCUUUAAGAUGAGCUCGCGUCCUAUCAGCUAGUUGGUGGGGUAAUGGCCUACCAAGGCGACGACGGGUAGCUGGUCUGAGAGGACGGUCAGCCACAAUGGCACUGAGACACGGGCCAUGCGCCUACGGGCGACGCAGAUGGGAAUUGUCGACAAUGGGCGAAAGCCUGAUCGCGCGACGCCGCGUGGAGGAUUGAAGGCCUUCGGGUUGUAAACUCCUUUUGCCACUGAAGAUUAUGACGGUAAGUGGCGAAUAAGCACCUGCUAACUACGUGCCAGAAGCCUCGGUAAGACGUAGGGUGCAAGCAUUAUCCGGAUUCAUUGGGCGUAAAGAGUUGCGUAGGCGGUCCGAUAGAUUUCACUUAAAAUGCUAUGGCUCAACCAUAGUUUGGGGUGAAAUAUCAUCGGACUUGAUGGUUGGAGAGGGUACUGGAACUUUACAUGAAGCAGUGAAAUGCGUUGAUAUGUAAGGGAACACCAAAGGCGUAGGCAGGUACCUAUUUAACCCAUGACGCUGAGGCACGAAAGCUAGGGGAGCGAAGCAGAUUAGAGACCUGCGUAGUCCUAGCCGUAAACGAUCCUUGCUAGAUGGCAGAGGUUUCUUUGCUGUCGUAAGCUAACGCGUUAAGCAAGGCGCCUGGGGAGUACGAACGCAAGUUUAAAACUCAAAGGAAUUGACGGGGAGGCGCACAAGCAGUGGAGCGUGUUGUUUAAUUCGUUACAAAGCGAAAAACCUCACCAGGACUUGACAUGUAUCUGCAAGGACCAGGAAACUGGACCCGCUUUCGAAGGUGAUACACAGAUGCUGCAUGGUCGUCGUCAGCUCGUGGCGUGAGCUGUACCGUUAAGUCGGGAAACGAGCGCAACCCGCACCGUAUGUUAAAUAAUUCAUGCGGAACAGCCCCCUUUUGGGGGAGGAAGGCGCGGAUGACGUCAGAUCAGCACGGCUCUUACGUCCUGGGCUACAAACACCCUACAAUGGCGAAAAACAGCGAGUUGCCAAUCCGUAAGGAGGAGCUAAUCUCUGAAAUUUCGCCUCAGUUCAGAUCGAGGGCUGCAAUUCGCCCUCGUGAAGUCGGAAUUGCUAGUAAUCGCGAAUCAGCAGGUCGCGGUGAAUACGUUCUCGCCUCUUGUACACACCGCCCGUCAAGCGAGCAAAGUUAGGGGCACCCGAACAACCUCACAAGGUUGGAAGGUGAAACUAGCGAUGAGCGCU
rnacentral:rRNA from 1 species